AUUGAAACACCAGCUCCCGUACAAUCACCGAAGUUAAGCAACAUCAAGUCUAAUCAGUACCUGGAUGGGUGACCACUUGGGAAUACCAGGUGUUGUAA